CAAUCUCAGUUCAGACUGCAGGCUGCAACUCGCCUGCACGAAGUCGGAAUUGCUAGUAAUCGUAGGUCAGCAUACUACGGUGAAUACGUUCCCGGGCCUUGUACACACCGCCCGUCAAACCAUGAGAGUUGGCAACACCCGAAGUCGGUAGUCUAACCGCAAGGAGGAUGCCGCCGAAGGUGGGGUUGAUGAUUAGGGUUAAGUCGUAACAAGGUAGC
rnacentral:rRNA from 1 species